rnacentral:lncRNA from 1 species
CCGGAGGGAGAACGAGGAGCGCGCACCACGGUGGGGAAAACGCUCGGUUCCGGUGAGAUCCAACCGAGUUUCGCUGGGGCGCCUGGGGCUUGAUCUUCGCGGCACGGUGGGAAAACGGAGUGCGGGGCGACCUAAGGGACCUUUAUAGGGCUCGGAACGGCAAGAUAUCCCGGGAUUUUCGGGAUCGAUUCGGCCGGAGAAGGAAAGUUCGUCUCGGUUACGGCUUGGAGAAGAAGAACAGGGCACCGACAGGUGGGCCCGAGGUGUCGGCGGCAAAAGGGAGGGAGAGGGAGUGCUGCGCGCGCGGGCCUGGCCGCUGGGCCGAGAACGAGCUGGGCCGCUCGCGACGCGGGGGUGGGGGAAAACUGGGCGCGGGGCUGGCUGGGCCUCGGUCUGGUUUCCCCAGGGGCUUCUCCCCUUUCUCCUUUUUUUUAUUUUAUUUUCUGUUUUUCUUUUUUUCCUAUUUCUUCUUUGUUUUCUAAAGUCUUUUUAAAAAGAGAUUUUAAAUCCUUUUGGAGAAACAAAAUGCAUAGACAAAAAGCAAGCAAGCAAGUAAAUAAAUUAAUUCCAGCAUGAAUGCACAACCAAGUUUUCUAAACUUAUAAUAAAUUUUAAUUUUGACCAAAACUAUUUUAUUUACUGGAUUAAAUGCUCACCAAAAAUGAUUAAUUAAAUCAAAUUAAUUCCUAUUAAUUGAAAACAAAUUUUUGGGUGUUACAAACUCUACCCCCUUAAAAGAUUCUUGUCCUCGAGAUUGAAAGGUGCUUACUCAAACAAAUAUGAGUAUGAUUUCCUCAGGUCAUCCUCUCUUUCCCAAGUUGCCUCCGCUUCCGAAUACCGAUUCCACUGCACUUUGCACAUUCUAAUGACCCGACUUCUGGUGACUCUCUCAGCUGUCUCCAAAAUUCUGACCGGAUACUCUUCAUAAGUGAGAUCACCUUUAACAAAAAGCUCUUCCAAUGGUAUUUGUUCCUCAGGUACAUGCAAACACUUCUUAAGUUGUGACACAUGGAACACAUCAUGCACACCAGAUA